CAGCAGCCGCGGUAAAACGGAGGGUGCAAGCGUUAUCCGGAUUUAUUGGGUUUAAAGGGUCCGUAGGCGGAUCUGUAAGUCAGUGGUGAAAUCUCACAGCUUAACUGUGAAACUGCCAUUGAUACUGCAGGUCUUGAGUAAAUUUGAAGUGGCUGGAAUAAGUAGUGUAGCGGUGAAAUGCAUAGAUAUUACUUAGAACACCAAUUGCGAAGGCAGGUCACUAAGAUUUAACUGACGCUGAUGGACGAAAGCGUGGGGAGCGAACAGGAUUAGAUACCCCAGUAGUCCCUGUCUCUUAUAC
rnacentral:rRNA from 1 species